rnacentral:rRNA from 1 species
GACGAACGCUGGCGGCGUGCCUAAUACAUGCAAGUCGAGCGGACGGAUGGGAGCUUGCUCCCAGACCGUCAGCGGCGGACGGGUGAGUAACACGUGGGCAACCUGCCUGUAAGACUGGGAUAACUCCGGGAAACCGGGGCUAAUACCGGAUAACUCUUUCCCUCACAUGAGGGAAAGCGGAAAUAUGGCAUCUCGCUAUACCUUACAGCGGGCCCCGCGGCGCAUUAGCUAGUUGGUGAGGUAACGGCUCACCAAGGCGACGAUGCGUAGCCGACCUGAGAGGGUGAUCGGCCACACUGGGACUGAGACACGGCCCAGACUCCUACGGGAGGCAGCAGUAGGGAAUCUUCCGCAAUGGACGAAAGUCUGACGGAGCAACGCCGCGUGAGUGAUGAAGGUUUUCGGAUCGUAAAACUCUGUUGUCAGGGAAGAACAAGUACCGGAGUAACUGCCGGUAGCUUGACGGUACCUGACCAGAAAGCCACGGCUAACUACGUG